ensembl:lncRNA
GUAUUUCUUCAACUUUAUCUCUCAAUUAUUCCACUGACUCGCUUAUGACAGUUUGGCAAGAGUACAUCCUUGCUUCUCUGAAAGUUUUUUUUUUUUAAAUAGCACUUUCUUCUGGUUUCACCAAUUCAGUCUUGUAGCUCUGUGGUACUAUUAACCAUGUUUUUAGUUUUUCUCUUAAGCGCGUUUCUUCUCUCUGCAUGGUCUGUCUCCUCAUGUCCUGUUGUUUUCUCUUUAUUCUUUUUUUGGCAUUUUAUUAAAGUAUAGUAGAUUUGCAGUGUUGUGAUCCUUUCUGCUGUAGUUCUGUUGCUUUCUGCUCGUUUUGGUUUCCAGUUUUGACAUCGAGGUGGCCCCUGGGAUGGGAAGGGGUGAGGCUCCCCGUUUCCCGUAGUGCCCCUUGCUUAAGCAUCCCCGUUUUCACAGCAGGUUCCCUCCGUCUUUCUCUGUGCUGGCCUCCAUGGUUUGGGAGUCUCAGGUUUAAUCUCUGCAGGACUGACCUCCCUCCUUCCAGAGAGGGACUAGAAUUAUUAGGGUGUCCACUUUUCUGGGGCCCCUGAUGUUGCCCACCCAAGCUUCCUAGAGGUCAGCUUUUCUUAUGUAGGCUCUCCUGAGCUUUUGAACAUUUUGUGGGUGUCCUUCAGCUGCUGUGGUCCCCUCUUCUAUUCAUAUUGUUCUUUAGGUUUAUACCUUUACUUAAAAUUUCCUUGGGUACAGGUUUGGCACAGUCUCUGGAUGGAGCAAAGAAAAACACACAUAUGCUCAAUUCCCUGGAUUCACCAGGAAGAAGGGACCCACCUGACUCUGCAGGUGGGAAUCGUCCCCACCCUGCUGUCGCCACUGCCUGAGAUGUUCGCGGCACACCCAGGAAAAGAGCAGACCUUCAGCCAAACUUCCGCUGAGUGAAUGAGACCAUAAUUCAUUGGAAUUCAACUAACCAGCCUUAACCCGAUCUGCUGCCCCCAGCCGCGACACGUCUAUACUGCAUAACACAAAGGGAACAAGCAAGGACUCGCCCAGCAGAUCCUGGGAGAGGGCGGGGACCCAGCCGACCUGGAAGCACGUCCACUGCCUCCAUCACUCAAGGUGAUGCUCCAGCGCUGUAGCAGCACAGGUGCUAGAGGGAGGUCCCAUCAAGCUUUGUGGUCCUGAAAGUGGUGGAGAACCAGACGAGGGAAGGGCAGCACGAGUCCGGCAUGAAGGGGUC